CUAUGGCCACAGCAUGUUGAAACAGCGGUUCCUGUAUGAUCACUGAAGAUAAGCAACAUUGAGCCUGGUCAGUACCUAGAUGGGUAUCUACUUGGGAAUAUCAGGUGCUGUAAG